AGCGGGUUCUAAAGAUAAAAAAAUCCCCGAAAGAAAAAGAAAUUGGAUGAGCAAAAUAGUAAGGUUCCAAAAGAACCUGAUAUUGAAAGAUGUCUGAAAGAAGACAUAAGUGGAAAGGUUCCAGAAGAACCUGAUAUUGAAAGAUGUCUGAAAGAAGGCAUAAGUGGAAAGGUUCCAGAAGAACCUGAUACUGAAAAUGUCUGAAAGAAGGCAUAGAUGAAAAGGUUCAAGAAGAACCAAAUAAAGAUAUUGAUCCAGAUGACGAGAAGGAAACAGAAAAGUAUGAGAUUUCCAUCAACUACGCCCU
rnacentral:lncRNA from 1 species